GGUAUCUGCUCUGCAGAAGUGGCCUUGUCUUGGCAACAUUCCCUUCAAGGAUGCUAAUGCCUUAGGGCAUGAAUUACUUGCUUUGGGGUACUAGAGAAGUACCAGAAGCUUGGUAUGGGCUGAGCUAUCCUGAUGGCAUUUUCAGAAGGAGAGGUACGUGAAGUUAAAGCACUUGCUGCUCAAUUUCAGAUAGAUAGUACUUUGUUUGUACUGCAAAUGGCAUAAGCAGGUCUGUCCUGCAGGAUGCUGGGAAGAUGACUGCAUAACAUUCGUGGGAUAGAGAAGCCAAGUUCUCAAGUCUUCCGAUGAAGGUGACUCUGGCUUGUGUAAUAAAGUGUUGGCAGAGAUCGCCGAGGCCAGCAUGCAUGCUAGAGGUUCUGCAAACACUGUCAUUCGGCAGUGUACACGAUGAUUAGUUGUCUCAUCAGGGAGAGCUCAGAAGAGGUCCCUGCAGAGAACCACCCACUCUGGCUGAAGGACCAGCCUUUGUGAUCCAACCAGCACACCUCCUAUUAUGAGGUCAUGUCUUGCUUAUCCUAAGACCGCUGGUUGGCAGAGGUCUUGAACCAUUAAGAGUACAUGAAGUUAAUCUAUUUAUUUGCUCAUCGAUCUCUUUUAUGAAACACUGUAGAACCCUGAGGUGCAAGCAGCAUCAUUUGAGAUGCCUCUGAGGCAGGAUAAUGCGCGGGAGAGACGUGUUCUUCCCCACACCAUCCUGGUCAUUUGGGGCUGGCACCAUGAUGGCUCUGGAACGUUGGUGGCUGUGCCCAGUGACAGGCAGGAGAGAAGCGAUGGUUCCCCGUGGGGCCUGCGAUUCUUGGUGAAGCAGCAGUUGUUUCCAGGAGGAGACGUGUGAUGAGCAUUCAUGAGAGCCCUCAGGGACAUCAGAAAAUACUGGAUGGAAAGAGUUUGCACCGAGUGGAGGUUUUACGUUGCAAGUAUGGGCUGGAGCCAACAAGUCUCUGUUAUGAUUUUAAUAGUUGCCACUGUACACAGAGGAAGAUGAAGUCUGGAUGAAAUUUGGGCCACAUGAAUCUAUUGGAUCCUAGAUACCAGCAUUCUAUUUAUCUGAAUAAGAUAAAAUUCAUGGCAAUUCAACCUACUUCUGGAGAAAGACCAGCUGUAGACAGCAAACAGUCUCAAUAGAAUCUUUUAGGAGAAAUAUAUAACUCCAAUUUAUAAAUAACAGAAGGUUUCAAGUCAAAAUCCUAACCAAUCUGCUUUGAUCUCAUUGAACAAGACUCGCUUGCAAUGACUGAAGUGGAUAUAAAACAUGAGUUCACUUAUAUGUGUCCCAUGAAACUUUUAUUACCCAUUUAUCCUUCUUACCUAGAACAAUGAACAUCAUCGCAGUGACAACCAUGCAGAAUUAGCAGAAUCUGAAUUACUCCAGAUAUUCUCAUUCUUAAGUUCUGCUCAGGAAGUGUAUAUUCAUGCCAAGGCCAUGGCACUCAGGUACGAUAUCAGAAAUUUUCAAGGUAAUUCACAUAAUGACUUAUGAAAGAAAUAGUCCACUAAUUCCAGAAUACAAUUCUGUCAAGAUUGAAAACUCUUUUUAGGGCCACAGAGUAUUAGACUUGAAAGAAUUUGGGAGAUUAUUGCAUUUCCUAAUAAAAGCACUGCCAUGGUAACAGGUGAUCUGCUUUCUGCUUGAAUAUUUUUAACUUGGGAGAACUUACCAUCUCCCAGUACAGCCUGUGUAAUAUUCUGAAUAGCCUCAAUUAUUAGAAAGCUCUUUCUUCUAUUAAACUUAAAUCUUCUUUUUAAUAACUUCUAACCCAUGGCCACUAGCUUUGUUCUCUAGGAUUAUAUGGGGUAAAAAUAAUCCCUGUUGCUCACACGGGCCCCUCACACUUUAAAGACAGUUAUCACGUGCUUCUAUCAUGUUACCAAGACAAGGCCACUUCUGCAUGGCAGUGCUCUUAUUAAGAAAUGCAAUAAUCUCCCAAAUUCUUUCAACUCCAAUACUCUAUGGUCCUAAAAAUGUUCUGUUGUUUAAGAACACUCCAUGUUCCUUCCAUUGCUCUUCAGAUACUUAGUUCAUCCAAGCUCACACUAGCCCCUUUCCACCCUCACAAUUUAGCACUUCUCAGGUCAGGCUUGGGUAGUAAAAAAUUUGACCUUGCCCAAAGAUAGAUGUGGCCUUUUCCAUGAGCUUCUGGGAGGUAAACAACAUCAUACUCACUGGGAGUGCCUUUGUUAUGGUGAGGGUUGGCCACAUAAGAUCUUAGGGUAGGAUGGGCCAUACCUGAUAGUCAUAUGGUCCAAGCUGGUUGCAAGAGAAAGAUCAACCAUGGGAUUUAGGGCAGGGGCUUUGGGGUCACACAGUACCAGUCCACCUGAAGACUGAGUUAGACCACAUGGGAAAUCAAUCAAUCAAUCAUGCCAGUGUAAUGAAACCACAGUAACAACUCUGGAUACAAGGCUCAGGGACUUUUAAAUAAUUCUCAGGAAGAAAGAAACUGCAGAGCCCAAGUGGAAUUCUGGAUAUAAUGAAAUCCUGCCCCAGCCUGGUGGCUUCUCUCAGAUCUUUCCUCCCGGCUUGCCGCUUCAUGAUCUCUGAACCUCCUGUGUCUCCUUCGUGAUAAACUUGCAUUUUUAGAACA